AACGAACGCUGGCGGCGUGCCUAACACAUGCAAGUCGUACGAGAAAUCUGGAGCAAUCUGGAGAGUACAGUGGCGCACGGGUGAGUAACGCGUGGGUAACCUACCCUUGGGUUGGGGAUAACUCCUCGAAAGGGGUGCUAAUACCGGAUGACAUUUCGAUCUCCUCGGAGAUUGAAAUCAAAGGUGGCCUCUGCAUGCAAGCUACUGCCCGGGGAUGGGCCCGCGUACCAUUAGCUAGUUGGUAGGGUAACGGCCUACCAAGGCUGCGAUGGUUAGCUGGUCUGAGAGGAUGGCCAGCCACACUGGAACUGAGACACGGUCCAGACUCCUACGGGAGGCAG
rnacentral:rRNA from 1 species